rnacentral:tRNA from 1 species
GGGCCCGUAGCAUAGGCAGGAUAUUGCUCCGGCCUUCUAAGCCGGGGGUCUCGGGUUCGAAUCCCGACGGGCCCG